rnacentral:lncRNA from 1 species
CUGAUUUAAAGGUUUUACUGAUAACCUACAAAGCAUUACAUGGGCUUGCUCCUACCUAUCUUUCCGAUUUGGUCCUGCCGUACAUACCUACACGUACGCUACGGUCACAAGACGCAGGCCUCCUAAUUGUCCCUAGAAUUUCUAAUCAAACAGCUGGAGGCAGGGCUUUCUCCUAUAGAGCUCCAUUUUUAUGGAAUAGUCUGCCUACCCAUGUGAGAGAUGCAGACUCGGUCUCAACCUUUUAAGUCUUUACUGAAGACUCAUCUCUUCAGUGGGUCCUAUGAUUGAGUGUAGUCUGGCCCAGGAGUGUGAAGGUGAACGGAAAGGCUCUGGAGCAACGAACCGCCCUUGCUGUCUCUGCCUGGCCGGUUCCCCUCUCUCCACUGGGAUUCUCUGUCUCUAACCCUGUUACAGGGGCUGAGUCACUGGCUUAUUGGUGUUCUUCCAUGCCGUCCCUAGGAGGGGUGCGUCACUUGAGUGGGUUGAGUCACUGACGUGGUCUUCCUGUCUGGGUUGGCACCUCCCCCUUGGGUUGUGCCGUGGCGGAGAUCUUUGUGGGCUAUACUCGGCCUUGUCUCAGGAUGGUAAGUUGGUGGUUGAAGAUAUCCCUCUAGUGGUGUGGGGGCUGUGCUUUGGCAAAGUGGGUGGGGUUAUAUCCUUCCUGUUUGGCCCUAUCCGGGGGUAUCGUCGGAUGGGGCCACAGUGUCUCCUGACCCCUCCUGUCUCAGCCUCCAGUAUUUAUGCUGCAGUAGUUUAUGUGUCGGGGGGCUAGGGUCAGUCUGUUAUAUCUGGAGUAUUUCUCCUGUCUUAUCCGGUGUCCUGUGUGAAUUUAAGUAUGCUCUCUCUAAUUCUCUCUUUCUCUCUUUCUUUCUCGCUCGGAGGACCUGAGCCCUAGGACCAUGCCUCAGGACUACCUGACAUGAUGACUCCUUGCUGUCCCCAGUCCACCUGGCCGUGCUGCUGCUCCAGUUUCAACUGUUCUGCCUGCGGCUAUGGAACUCUGACCUGUUCACCGGACGUGCUACCUGUCCCAGACCUGCUGUUUUCAACUCUCUAGAGACAGCAGGAGCGGUAGAGAUACUCUCAAUGAUCGGCUAUGAAAAGCCAACUGACAUUUACUCUUGAGGUGCUGACUUGUUGCACCCUCGACAACUGUGAUUAUUAUUAUUUGACCAUUCUGGUCAUUUAUGAACAUUUGAACAUCUUGGCCGUGUUCUGUUAUAAUCUCCACCCGGCAGAGCCAGAAGAGAACUGGAAACCCCUCAUAGCCUGGUUCCUCUCUUGGUUUCUUCCUAGGUUUUGGCCUUUCUAGGGAGUUUUUCCUAGCCACCGUGCUUCUACACCUGCAUUGCUUGCUGUUUGGGGUUUUAGGCUGGGUUUCUGUACAGCACUUUGAUAUAUCAGCUGAUGUAAGAAGGGCUAUAUAAAUAAAUUUGAAAUUUGACUUGGGGCCAGGUAAUAGACAUGUCGUAGCCUACCGGGGAAGAACGAGAGGCAGCCCCCCAACAAAACAUUUGGGGGGGGCACACGGGUAGUUUGGCGGGGCCAGGGGUGAGACCUGAGCCAACUCCCCGUGCUUAUUGUGGUGAGCAUGUGCCUGCCUCUCGCACUCUCCCUCCAGUGCGCCUCCAUAGCCCAGUACGUCCUGUGCCUGCCCCUCGCACUCUCCCUCCAGUAAGCCUCCAUAGCCCAGUACGGCCGGUGCCUGCUCUGAGCACCCGGUCCUCAGUGCGUCUCUCCAGUCCGGUGAGACCUGUUCCAGCUCCACGAGCAAAGCCUCCAGUGAUAAUCUAUGGUCCGAAGCCUGUAGAGAUGAUCCAUGGCACAAAGCCUCUAGUGAUGAUCCAUGGCCCGGAGCCUGUAGGGAUAAUCCAUGGCAAGAAGCCUGUAGGGAUUAUCCAUGGUCCGGAGCCUGUAGGGAUAAUCCAUGGCAAGAAGCCUGUAGAGAUAAUCCAUGGCCCGGAGCCUGUAGAGAUGAUCCAUGGCACGAAGCCUCCAGUGAUGAUCCAUGGCACGGAACCUGUAUUGAUGAUCCAUGGCAUGGAGCUUGCAGCAACGGUCCCCAGUCCGGAACCUACAACGACGCUCCCCAGUCCGGAGCCUCCGGCGACGCUCCCCAGUCCGGAGCCUCCAGCAGCGGUCUGCAGCCCAGAGUCUUCAACGGCGCCCUUCAGCCUAGAGUCUUCAACGGCGCCCUUCAGCCUAGAGUCUUCUACGGCGCCCUUCAGCCCAGAGUCUUCAGCGGCGGUCUUCAGCCCAGAGUCUUCAGCAGCGGUUGGCAUUCCAAAGCCUCCGGCAAUGAUCCACGGUCUGGUUCCUCCGGACACACAGAAGCGGGGGGAGCAGCGGGCGGUGGGGGUGCUACUCCCUGAACCAGAGGCGCCCCAAUUGUAGAUGCCCACCCGGACCCUCCCCUAUAGGUUCAGGUUUGCGGCAGGGAGUCCGCACCUUUGGGGGGGUACUGUCACGCUCUGACCUAGGAGAGCUGUGUUUUCUCUGUUUAGUUAGGUCAGGGUGUGAUAGGUGGGUGGGCAUUCUAUGUGUUUGUUUUCUAUGUUUUGGCCGGGUAUGGUUUCCAAUCAGAGGCAGCUGUCUAUCGUUGACUCUGAUUGGAAGCCAUACUUAGGCAGCCUUUUUCCCUUGGUUUGUGUGGGUAGUUGUUUUCUGUUUUGUUAGAUUAACCUGACAGAACUGUCAGCUGUAAUUUUUGUUUAUUUGUAUUCAGUGUUCGAUUUUCAUUAAUUUACAAUGAGCACUCAACACGCUGCGCCUUUGUCCCCUUCAUAUGACGCCCGUUACACCAUCAGAGGUCAAGAGGUGGGCAUGGGCACUGUCAAAGAGGUGGACAUCAGAGAGAGGGAGGCAGACAGCAGAGAACUGUUGUGUCUAAUGAAGUCCAGGCCAUCGGCGUUGACCAUGUGAAUUGACAGGAGACCCCAUGGUUGUGGCCGUGGCCAUGUGCUGACGGACCAGCAGGAGUGGGCAGUGGUGGAAAUGGCAUACGGCUGUCCGAAAUAAAGCAGGCCACUGAGGAAAGCGAUGACACCUUUGCCAAUGUGAUCCAAUUGUUGCUUUGUUGUGUCCCUUCUCCAUGCAACAGUUUGACAACAAUCUACAUCCCCACCACCACCAGCUAUAAUAACCUUAAGGCCCAUCAUUGGAACUCCUUUCCCCCGGGAGGGGUUCGAUGCCAGCAGCCCCACAUAGAGCUACCAGCUAUCCCCUUCGGAGACGAGGCCAUUCCCAGAACUAUUUCAUAAAAUGUCAUAUUGCAUUCUGUCUUUGUUGUUCAUUCAGUUAAGCCUGUACUCAAUUUAAUUGUUUGUAUGUUCCCGCUGUAAUGUAUAGCCUUAGAUGUUACUGCUAUAUUACUGAGUUUCUAAUCCUAUUUUUGUCAUUUGUCAUUUUUAUUAGGAUCCCCAUUAGCUAACGCCGUAACGCUAGCUAAUCUUUCUGGGGUCCAACACCAAUUAAUAAGACAUUACAAACAAUUACAAAUCAAGACUUCACAAAUAUUCAACAAGUAGACAAUGUGCACACUUUGAUUUACGGCCUAGUAACGUGUAUUCUUAGAUCAGAUUAGAUCUGUAGCCAAGCGUGAGAGAUGGCCAUAAAUCUUAAGAGCAUAGGCCUUCUAUUUCUCUCUCUCUCUCUCUCUCUCUCUCUCUCUCUCUCAAUGUGCACAAAACAAUAGGAAUACCUUCCUAAUAUUGAGUUGCACCCACUUUUGCCAUCAGAACAGCCUCAGUUUUCUGGGCAUGGUCUCUACAAGGUGUCGAAUGGGAUGCUGGCCCAAUGCUCCCCAUAGUCGUGUCAAGUUGGCUGGAUGUUGUUUGGGUGGUGGACCAUUCUUGAUACACACAGGAAACUGUUGAGCGUGAAAAAAACAGCAGCGUUGCAGAUCUUGACACAAACUGGUGCGUCUGGCACCUACUACCAUACCCCGUUCAAAGGUACUUAAAUAUUUUGUCUUUCCCGUUCGCUCUCUGAAUGGCACACAUACACAAUCCAUGUCUCAAUUGUCUCAAGGCUUAAAAAUAGUGACAUCCAUAAGGAAUCAAAGCUUUCACCUGGAUUCACCUGGUCAGUAUACUGUAUGUCAUGGAAAAAGCAGUUCCUAAUGUUUUGUAAACGUAUUCCUGCUGUGUGAAUAUCCGAGUGUUUGCAUGUUAUACUAUAGCAUCCAUUUUAAGAACAGCAUGCCACAUGUUGCAUGUAAUCUCUACUAUAGUUGCAUGAUGUAUUAGUAUGUAUUAAAAUCGUAUAAUG